UACGGGGGGGGUAAGCGUUGUUCGGAAUUAUUGGGCGUAAAGAGCGUGUAGGCGGCCAGGUAGGUCUGGUGUGAAAACUCGAGGCUUAACCUUGAGAUGUCAUCGGAAACCAUUUGGCUAGAGUCCGGAAGAGGAAAGUGGAAUUCCUGGUGUAGCGGUGAAAUGCGCAGAUAUCAGGAAGAACACCAAUGGCGCAAGCAGCUUUCUGGGACGGUACUGACGCUGAGACGCGAAAGCGUGGGGAGCGAACAGG
rnacentral:rRNA from 1 species